rnacentral:misc_RNA from 1 species
UGACAACGAGCGUUGAUUAGUUUUUUUAGUUAGUAAGUAGUUGUAAAUUCACAGUGAAAAUGGACAAAAAAAGCUUGACAAGAACAGAACUGAUUCUACAAAUGGCGAUGAAUAAAAAUUCCAGUAAUAUGGGGGAAGAAAUAUGUCAUGAGGAGCCUGACAAUAUUAUCGAAGAAGCGUCUCAACAUAGCUUUAUAAUUUUGCCGAAUGAAAGUACUGACAUAGUAAAUACUGUGCAGACGGUAGCUGGUAGGAUUAGAUGCAGACGAAAUUGGGGAAUCCUAUAAUAACAGAGAUGUAAACACAAAAUUUGGGAAAUAUGUUUGAAAACAGAGUUAUUUAUUUUGAAGAGAACUUUGUACCUGCAGCGAUUGAAGGUCAUUCAGAUUUGGCACUGGGGAAUGAUUUUCAAGAAAUUCAGGAACCCAUUCUUCAGAAUAAUUUGACUCAAUUGGAAAAUGUACUUUAUGAACGUAGUGACGGUAAUAAUGAGAAUUCGGACAUAAUACCCGACUUGCAAGUUGUUCAAAAUCCAGAAGAAAUUCAAUCGCAUGACUCUUUACAAGAUGUAUUUCAAGAUGAGCAAGAUAUUGGAAUUACUCAAACAGAAAAUGAAGAAGACUCUAGCAGUCCAGAUGAAAAUAUUCCUUUGGCUAAUUUAAAAGAACUACAGAGAAAGGAAAAUAUGAAAAAGAAGAAAAACAAAAUAUCAUGGAAAGAAAGGUCUAAACUUAAAAAUAUAACAAAACAUCCACUUAGAGAAGCCUGCAAAGAUUCAUGCAGCAAAAAGUGGAAGAAAUUAAUAAAAGAAGAACAAAGACAAUCAAUUCAUGACAGUUUUUGGUCUUUAACAUGGUAUGAUCAAAGAAAGUGUAUCCUUAAUUCAUGUAGCCGAGUGUCAGUUAAAAAGAGAACUAUAACUGCUGGAUAUUAUCAAUGAAAUUUAACUUUUUCUUACAAAUUAACUCAAGACAGUGGAAUGUUAGUGGAUGUAUGUAAGAUUUUUUAUUUAACAACACUGGGAUACCAUCCAAAAAAUGACAGAUUUAUUUUUAAUGUUUUGCACAAAACUGGACCAGGAUCAAUAUUACCAAAUAAAGACCGCAGAGGACAUAAUCCUCCGGCCAAUAAAAUUGAUAGGCAAUUGAUAUUAAAUCAUAUCGAAACGUUUCAUCCAAGCAUUUCCCACUACCGACGUGAGCAUGCUCCUUACGUGAAAUACCUGCCCAGCGAUGUAACCAUUGUUUCUAUGCAUCAAGAUUAUAUAGAAAAACACCCAAAACACAAAUGUGGAUAUCAAGCAUAUAGAAAAAUAUUAUUUGCAGAAAAAAUUAGAUUUACAAAACUGGGCCAUGAAGAAUAUGAAAGUUGCGAAGUUAUGAAUCUUCAUGAGCACCAAAGUGAAAAUUUAAACCCAGAGUGCUCAGUUUGCAAGAAAUGGUCAGAUCACAUAAAUAAGGCCAAAAUCGCCAGAAAUCUAUAUAAAGCACAUGCAAACACUGACUACGAUUGUAGAACAGUUUGCAUUUCAGCAGAUUUAGAAAAAAUCGUCAUGCUUCCAAGGAUGGAAAGUUUUAAAAAAGUUUUGUUUACUCAAAGGUUAGUAGCUUACAACGAAACUUUUGCACCCCUUGGUUCAAAAAAAUCCAAUGCCACAAAAGUAUUACCAUUUGCAGUUACUUGGCAUGAAGCCAUACGGGGAAGAGGGAAAGAGGAAUUGAUAAGUUGUUUCUUUCAGUUCAUACUUCGACAUAGAGACGCUGAAAAUUUUAUAUUUUGGCUCGAUAACUGCUCUUCCCAAAAUAAAAUUUGGGCAAUAACGACAUUUCUUGUUUACAUUGUCAAUUCUUUAAGAGUGGCAGCUUAGACUAUUGAUUUUUUUUAUUUUGAGGCCGGUCAUACGUUUAUGUCAGCCGACUCCCUACACCAUCAAAUUGAACUAUCACUUAGGCGUCAAAAAAAAACUUGUGACUUUAAUGAUUUCGUCGCCGCUAUUCAAAAAGCAAACGGAGGAAAAAUGGAAACACAAGAAAUGAUGAUAACUGAUUUUUAUGAGUUUAAAGAUUUGUCAUCAGUUAAUAAGAGAAACAUGACAACUAAUAAAGAAAAGAUAUUGCUAUCGGAUAUUGUCCAUGUAAAAGCAACACGAGGAUCUUUUGACUUGAUGGUCCAAUGUGAUCUAAAAAGUGAAAACUUUAAAACACUUAAUUUUCUUCGGAGUGAUGUAUAUAAAAUAAAAACAAUUUUUGACCCUUUUCAGUUUACUAUUACAUGUGGAAUUAGUGAGGAAAAAAAAGCAACUAUUAUAAAAAAUUUGUUGAGCGUAAUGACCGAAAAUCGAAAAGAAUUCUGGCUUAAUUUACCUGUGUUUACCGCUCCACAAAAAACACAAAAUAUUAAAAAGAAAUGUAACAAAAAAAGAGUAACUCAAUAAAUAAAAAUGUUCAAAAUUUA